UGGGGAAUAUUGGACAAUGGGGGGAACCCUGAUCCAGCAAUGCCGCGUGUGUGAAGAAGGCCUGAGGGUUGUAAAGCACUUUCAGUGGGGAGGAGGGUUGAUGGGUUAAGAGCUGAUUGACUGGACGUUACCCACAGAAGAAGCACCGGCUAACUCCGUGCCAGCAGCCGCGGUAAUACGGAGGGUGCGAGCGUUAAUCGGAAUUACUGGGCGUAAAGCGUGCGUAGGUGGUUAUAUGAGUUAUCUGUGAAAUUCCUGGGCUCAACCUAGGGCGGUCAGAUAAUACUGUAUGACUCGAGUAUGGGAGAGGGUAGUGGAAUUUCCGGUGUAGCGGUGAAAUGCGUAGAGAUCGGAAGGAACACCAGUGGCGAAGGCGGCUACCUGGCCUAAUACUGACACUGAGGCACGAAAGCGUGGGGAGCAAACA
rnacentral:rRNA from 1 species